GCAUCCUUGUCCGAGUGGCUUAGGUGACGGUCUGCAAAAUCGUCUAGGUUGGUUCAAUUCCAACAGGAUGCUCCA
rnacentral:tRNA from 9 species